GAGGGUGUUAUAAGAUUUGCUAACUCUU
rnacentral:tRNA from 1 species